GACGAACGCUGGCGGCGUGCUUAACACAUGCAAGUCGAACGGAAAGGCCCUGCUUGCAGGGUACUCGAGUGGCGAACGGGUGAGUAACACGUGGGUGAUCUGCCCUGCACUUCGGGAUAAGCCUGGGAAACUGGGUCUAAUACCGGAUAGGAGCCAUUUUUAGUGUGAUGGUUGGAAAGUUUUUUCGGUGUAGGAUGAGCUCGCGGCCUAUCAGCUUGUUGGUGGGGUAAUGGCCUACCAAGGCGGCGACGGGUAGCCGGCCUGAGAGGGUGGACGGCCACAUUGGGACUGAGAUAAGGCCCAGAACCCUACGGGAGGCAGCAGUGGGGAAUAUUGCACAAUGGGCGCAAGCCUGAUGCAGCGACGCCGCGUGGGGGAUGACGGCCUUCGGGUUGGAAACUCCUUUCGCGAGGGACGAAGCUUUUUGUGACGGUACCUAGAUAAGAAGCACCGGCUAACUACGUG
rnacentral:rRNA from 1 species